GACCCCGUAGCUCAACUGGAUAGAGCACCAUCCUUCUAAGAUGGGGGUUCCCUGUUCGAGCCAGGGCGGGGUCACCA
rnacentral:tRNA from 1 species